rnacentral:miRNA from 1 species
UACAGUCUCGAGGACGAACUAUG